GGAUGACAUCAGCUUUUCUGUCAAUGCAGAAGCAUCUCACCCACUUCCACGUAGCAAAUCAGUGGUCAGCACUUUACACCACUUAAUAUCUUUGAAUCCAAACCCCAGCUCCUGAAGGGAAAAAGGAAAAUAUGUGCGAAAGUCUGAGAUGCAUAUUCCCACAUAGCUGUCCAGAACACAGCAGGUAACCGUUUGAAUGAAGGUUCCCAGCCCGAGCUGUCGACUGGUUGCUGAGUUCCUCCAACAUUCUCUGUGUGUUUGCUUCUGUUUGUUUAUUGAUUAAAAUAAU